GGGCGGUUGGCGCAAUGGUAGCGCGUUGGUUUUCGGCUCUGCUUAGAAAACACCAAAGGUUGUGGGUUCGAUCCCCAUGCUGCUCG